rnacentral:rRNA from 1 species
UUCCGUAGGUGAACCUGCGGAAGGAUCAUUAUUGAUAGUUUGUAUUAUCAAAAACCCCUUUGUUUAUCAUUUACCAUGUUGCUUCCAUUGGACAGACCAGCAUUGUGUAUACAAGUUGGUCCUCUAGUUUUGUGUUUAUUUGGCACUAGCUAGGGAGCUGCCAGUGGAUAGAAUCCAAAAAAAAAAUUCGUGAAGAAACAUAUAUUGUCUGAUUUAUUAGUACAAAAAAAAAUAAAACUUUCAACAACGGAUCUCUAGGCUCUUGCAUCGAUGAAGAACGCAGUGAAAUGCGAUAAGUAAUGUGAAUUGCAAAAUCUCGUGAAUCAUCGAAUCUUUGAACGCACAUUGCGCCCUAUGGAAUUCUGUAGGGCAUGCCUGUCUGAGCGUCAGCAGCAAAAAAAUCAAAAUCUUUGUAGGUAAAGAUUUAGAUUUGGUUAAGAGAUGUAAUCUGUGAAAGAACCGGUUACACUUUUGAAAUUUAAAGGCAGUAUUGAUCAAUCCAACUGUAAACGUGAUAACACAUUUCGUUUUAUUGUUAGGAAUGAGCUUUUUGCUUGCCUAUAAACCCACUCAUCUUCAUGGGUGACCUCAGAUCAGGUAGGGAUACCCGCUGAACUUAAGCAUA